AUCACUUAGGGAUCUUGUUAAAAUGCAGAUUCUGAGCCAGCAGGUCUGGGCUGGCACCUGAGAUUCUGCAUUUCUAAGAAGCUCUCAGGUGGUGCUGA
rnacentral:pre_miRNA from 1 species